GUGAGGCAAGCGGGAGCAGCCGGCGGCUGGUCGGCGCCCAGUGCUGGCCUGGCGGAGGUAGAGAUCCGGCGGGCGGGGAGAAGGAAAGGGGGUAGCCGGGCGGCCCCGCAAGUCGGGGAAGGGGUGGCCAGGCAGGCCGGGGGUUACGGUGGUCUGCGAGCCUCGGACCCCUCAGUCGUGGAAGCCCCGCAAGGCAUUGGCGUCUCUGAGCCCCCGCUUCCUUUUCUGUCUGAAGUAGGAUGUGCCUCAUCUCGCACGGGGUUAUUAGUAUCACCUCGUGCUUGCUACGUGGCGCAGAACCUCCCCAGCAGUCCCAUGAGGUGGAAGCAUUGUCCUCCGCACUUCACAGACGAAUGGAGAAGAGUGGAAGGAAGAAAGGUGAGGUGGGACACUCACCUUCCAGCCACACUGAGCAGCCAUCCAGAAACAAGGUGGCCGGAUACUGGGAAGUAAAGGCCAGCAAUGAGUACUUCCCGUUGCUCUUCCGAUGUGUGUCUGGGCUCCUCACUGCACAGCUUACAUCUGAAGGACGUGCGCAGCGAUGUGUGUCACCUACUGUGAUCACCUGAGAGAGCUUGCACAAGCAGAGGAAAAGAAAGAGAAGCAGACUCCCCGUGGAGCUGGGAGCCCGACGUGGGGCUCCAUCCCAGGACCCCGGAAUCCGGACCUGAGCCAAAGACACGCUUAACUGACUGAGCCACCCAGGUGCCUGUUGCCUUUUUUCUUUUUAAGAUUUUAUUUUUUAUUAUUUACAAUAAAAAUUUUAACGAAUACA